UAGGUUGCUCUUGCUCAUCUAC
rnacentral:siRNA from 1 species